AUAUCAAGAGGGAAAGCUAGGACUCUUGUUUCUAUUUUGCCUUUAUUUUCACAUGCAGUGUAUAUCGAUAAAGCAAAAUAACGAACAUGAACGGAUUUCUUGCAAGAUUAAUUUUCUUACCGCUAGAUAGAGACAAUGGGUUGUCUAGUGAUAAAAAAAUCUAGUAAAAAAUUCCCUUUUAUGUAUAGAAUUACUCUUUUGGUAGUAUCUGUACACACGUUGUAUUGCAUCAUCUUACUGUUGUUGACUGGAAAUCAUUGAAAACACAGGUACCAUAUCUAAGCGCUUCAUUUGGAGUCAUCUAUGUCCUUGUCAAACCUGCUACUUAUGCUAUUAUAUCAAGAGCAUCAAGUUCAGCUGAUCAGGUUUGUGGAGUAAUAUGGUGUCUUUAAAUUGAUUCAACAAUUAUUAAAUAGUUUGCCAACAGCUGAAAAG